CGAAACAUGUUCUUUACGAAACAAAUUGUUCUCAUCUUUCCAAAUACAGUGUUGUUACAUUUCCAAAAUUAAAAAAAAAAAAAUUUUUAAACCAAAAAAAUAACUCCUUUUUCAUGUGUCGUAAUAUACCACCAUUUUUCGUGUAUGCUUUAAGAAACGAAUACAAAACAUGAAGAAGCAUAGACUGAUUUCAACUGUGUCUAAAUCUGUUUCUUCUUCGCUAGAGAAAAGACAUGACGUACAGAAUGCGUUAGCACUCUAUUUACCAUUAAAACUUCAUCAUGCUUGCUAAUGUGUACCAUACAGGAUUUGUAUCAAUUUUCUAUUCAGGUCAAACACAUUGUUUGCAAAUAUGGAAACGUCAUCUAGGGGAGGGUUCUAUAUGUAACAUUACUGAAGAUGAUGUGGUCAAUUGUAACGUAUUAGAGUUAGCAUCCGAUGAACUUUCAUCCACUUUUAUUACUUGCCCUCCGCAACCGAAUUCGAGCUUAGGGAUAAAACUUCCGUUUUUAGUAUUUCUUGUUAAAAAUAUAGAGAAAUAUUUCACAUUUGAAGUACAUGUUUUUGAUGACCAGCAAAAAAAGCUUCGUUUUCGUUCCUCAAAUUUUCAAUAUACAGCUCGGAUAACGCCAGACAUUUGUACUUUACCUUUAAGGCUUGAAAAGGGAUGGAACAAAAUUCAAAUUAAUUUACCCGAAUUAGUUAGAAAAGCCUACGGUACAACUUUUGUUGAGACGAUUUGCGUCCAACUACAUCCCAAUUGUCGCUUACUUCGAAUCUAUUUUUCCGAUAAGCUUUAUGAUGAAACACAGCUUCCUAUGGAAUUAAAAUUGUAUCAACGAGAGAACAGAUAAACAAUUGAAAAAUCUUGCUUGUUUUCUGAUUGCUUGAAAAAUAUGACUUUUGUAAUGCUUUGAAAAAAUUACAAUAGUUACCGUCUUCUUUUCAAAAGUUAAAGACUCAAUGCUGAACCACCUUAGCACAAAUUAUCCUUUUAAUAAUGAAAUGCUUUUUUUUUCCACAAACGACAAAGUAAAUUACCACAUUUGAAAAAAAUUUUUACAAAAAAAAAUAUUUUAUCAAAAAAGUGUAAAACUUUGCAGUCUUAAGUACAGUCGUUGAUUCCUUUUUAGUGUUAAAACUCCAAAAGGUUUCAGAUUUUUUUCUGGAUUGUAAGGUUUAUAAAUGUGAACUUGUAACAAAAAACUUUUAUUAGU